ACUACGCCUAUCUACAUAACUGAUUUUUAUUUCUUUGCAGCUUUCUCUCUCCACUGUAUUCCCCCACAUCUCUCCAUCACUGGCUGAAAUUAAAUUGAGUAGUACAAAAACCUACUGGUGGUGGUUCAUAGCUACGACCACCCAAUUAGGGUGGGGGAUUAGGUCUUGCAAGAAAGGCUCCAUCGGAGAUUCUUAGUUUUCCAUUUCAGGAUAUUCGAAGUCGCCUCUAGAGCUCUUCCUCGGAGCUAUCGUCACUACAUGUUUUGUUUCCCUCCGACAUCCAUAUUAUAAGGAGAAUAUACUUAGGAGCCUCUCCGCACGAGAGUCACUCCUGAGUAGUCAUUACAAAUAAUGGAAGAUAAACGAGGACUAGCUUUAGGAUCUAAAUACAUUUUCCCUACAAUGAUAUGACCAACAUUUGCUAUCCAAUCUGCUGCUGAGUUGGCUUCUCUGAAGACAUGAUUAAUUUUCCAAGUGUCGAAGAAGGCGAGGAGAUGCUUAAUAUCCUGAAUGAUGUUAUGAAUUUUCCACGGAGGAGUGUACUUUCCCUUAAUAGAAUUGAUGACAAGAAGAUUAUCACCUUCGAUCUGAAUGUGAGAAAUGUUGAGCCAACGAGCUUCUUGGAGACCCUUGUGGAGGGCGAUAGCUUCAGCCAUGAACGCCUGAGUGUGACCAAGAUUAAAAGUACAUGCCGGGACCGGGUUGCCUGCACUGUUGCGGAUGAUAAUACCUGCUGCUGCUGAAGUAGUUUUACUGGAGCCGUCAAAAUUGAGUUUGAAGUAACCUGAUGGAGGGGGGUGCCAGCGAACCAAGAUCAGGGGGGAAGGAGGAGAGGGAGAAAUGGAGGGAUGAGGGGUGAAAGGGGUGCCCGUGAGUUGGUGAUGGUCUAGAAGGAGACGACAUUGUCAUUCGUGGUAAGCCGAGCUGGCUUGGUGGAACACUCUAUAGGGGUUAAAGGAAGUGUUUUUGAAAAUACAAUUGUUCCUUUCUUUCCAUAGCGACCAUAUGAGGAAGGAGAAUUUGCAUAUAUGGCAGAAGAGUAAUUUUUGAUGGAAUUUAUGUUGUCAAGUAAAUCAUGUGAGACCGAGUAGAAUAUGCAUCCAAAGAAUGGUAAGACGGAUUUGCAACUUUAUAAAUAUUAUAAGAGGAGUUUCUUACUCCAA